GACGAACGCUGGCGGCGUGCUUAACACAUGCAAGUCGAACGGAAAGGCCCUGCUUUUGUGGGGUGCUCGAGUGGCGAACGGGUGAGUAACACGUGAGUAACCUGCCCUUGACUUUGGGAUAACUUCAGGAAACUGGGGCUAAUACCGGAUAGGAGCUCCUGCUGCAUGGUGGGGGUUGGAAAGUUUCGGCGGUUGGGUAUGGACUCGCGGCUUAUCAGCUUGUUGGUGGGGUAGUGGCUUACCAAGGCUUUGACGGGUAGCCGGCCUGAGAGGGUGACCGGCCACAUUGGGACUGAGAUACGGACCAGACUCCUACGGGAGGCAGCAGUGGGGAAUAUUGCACAAUGGGCGGAAGCCUGAUGCAGCAACGCCGCGUGCGGGAUGACGGCCUUCGGGUUGUAAACCGCUUUCGCCUGUGACGAAGCGUGAGUGACGGUAAUGGGUAAAGAAGCACCGGCUAACUACGUG
rnacentral:rRNA from 1 species